UACAGAGGUGGCAAGCGUUGUUCGGAAUUACUGGGCGUAAAGGGCGCGUAGGCGGCCUUCUAAGUCAGACGUGAAAUCCCCCGGCUUAACCUGGGAACUGCGUCUGAUACUGGGAGGCUUGAGUUCGGGAGAGGGAUGCGGAAUUCCGCGUGUAGCAGUGAAAUGCGUAGAUAUGCGGAGGAACACCGAUGGCGAAGGCAAUCCCCUGGGCCUGCACUGACGCUCAUGCACGAAAGCGUGGGGAGCAAACAGG
rnacentral:rRNA from 1 species